rnacentral:tRNA from 1 species
GUGGGAAUAACUCAGUGGUAGAGUGCAUGACGAGGUCCUGGGUUCAAUCCCCAGUACCUCCA